AUGGAUGCUUGUUCUGGAACUACAGGGCAUGGAGGAUCCGCUGGAAACAAGUUUCGGAUGUCGAUGGGUCUGCCGGUGGCAGCCACUGUUAAUUGUGCUGACAAAACUGGUGCCAAGAACUUGUACAUCAUCUCCGUCAAGGGAAUCAAGGGGCGCCUGAAUAGGCUUCCUUUGCUUGUGUUGGUGACAUGGUUAUGGCCAUUGUCAAGAAGGGAAAGUCUGACUGGAGGAAGAAGCUCAUGCCUGUUGUCAUUGUCAGGCAGCACAAGCGAUGGCGUCGAAAGGACGGUGUCUUCAUGUACUUUGAAGGUGAAUGGAGCUUGUGUUGUUGGUAGAACUCCAUUGAUGACUUCUUCCUAUGUUGAAGAGCAUGUUCCGUGUUAUCCAAGAGUAGCUAGCUUUACAUUGGCAGGGAGUUUGUUAUCCAAGAGUAGCUAG
rnacentral:rRNA from 1 species